AUGUCCCUACAGGUCCUUCUACAGCAUCCACUGCUAUGGAUGUCCCAUCCACUCCCUCAACAAGCACUAGCUAUCUAGGUGGAUCAACAGCUCCUCCAAUUGACCCAGCUGAAUGGUCAGCCGGCAUGACAGGUCCUUCUACAGCAUCCACUGCUAUGGAUGUCCCAUCCACUCCCUCAACAAGCACCAGCUAUCAAGGUGGAUCAACAGCUCCUCCAAUUGACCCAGCUGAAUGGUCAGCAUUCCUGUCUGACUCAGAAAGGACUGAUCUGGUAAGAAGAGGGCCAGUGCAAAUUAGUGACACCUUCACCUUCCCCAAAAAAUCUGAUGGUCGAAGCUUUCAUUACCAUUAUACGUGUAGACAAUUAGUUAAUGGGGAAAAAAUCAAGCGAAGCUGGCUAAUUUAUUCAAAGAAGAAUGAUGCGGUUUACUGCUUCUGUUGCAAAUUAUUCUCCAGAAAGUCCACAAAACUGUUAACAGAGGGACAGCGUGAUUGGGUCAAUGUAGGAGCUUUUCUCGUGUGGAGAGGAGGCUGAUGUUGAUGGUAGCGCACUGGCUGUAGAGAUCGAGAGUCUUCCUGAAUUUCCCCAAACCAUGACCGCCCUUGAGCUGCUCACAUACCUCUCACAAAACGAGAUGUGUGAGGUUUACCCAAAUCUUUGGGUAGCUCUCAGGAUAGCCUGCACUCUGCCUGUGACAGUUGCCUCAGCAGAGAGGAGCUUUUCCAAGCUAAAAUUAAUUAAAACAUACCUGAGAUCAUCGAUGGCUCAGGAAAGAUUAAGUGGACUUUCUGUUAUUAGUAUUAAUAGCAAAGUUGGCCAAGCAAUAUCAUAUAAUGAUGUCAUCAAUGACUUUGCCUCCCAAAAAGCUAGGAAGGAAAGAUUUUGAGGACAGUUACAUCGUAUUGAGACAGUUGGGAAUAUUUUCACAAUAAUUGAUUGUUGAACCCUUGCUGUCAUGUUACUAACUUAUCAGUUUUGUUAUUAUCGUUUAUUUGAAUGUUUUGAAACAGUUUGAUUUUAGAAGUUCCAAAUAGUUAGUUUAAAAGGUUAAUUGAAUACUGAGUCACUUUCAUUAUUUAAUCUAUGUAUCUAUGUAACGUUUUAUUUUUUAUUAUAUUCAUGCUUGUCUAUUUUGGUUUUAUUUUGUAAUUGGAAAUUGCUAACUUAAUACGCAUUUGCACAGUUGCAAAUUAUUUAUUUAAUAUGUUUGUGAUCGUUUGUUUGGAAUACAGAGGCACUAUCAUUAUUUAUUUUUUAUUUUUUAAUGUUAUUUUUGAUAAUACUAAUGUUUGUGUAUUUUGAUUUCAGUUUAAGAUUGCACAUUUACAAAUCUGUUGAAAGAUCUGUUUAUUAAACUGAUACUUUAAAAAAAAAUACAAAUGCUGUUGUAUUUAAUUAUUUUACAAUUUAACUUCAGUAAACCACACUUGAUGCUUUACUUUGAAUAUGAAAGUUUAAAAUAAAUCUGUGAUCUAAGUGCCCUCUAAGGUUAAAAGGUGACUGUUUUGGUGUAAAUAACGACUAUAAUAAUACAGGGGUCUAUCAAGGGACAAAAGUCUAGAAUAUUUUUGGCAUGAGAGCAACUGAAUGAGCCUUCCAGGCCCAAGAGGUCAAGGGGCACUGAAGCCCAAGCCCAAGUCACCAUCUCAAUAAGUCAAAAAGCAAAAUGCUAUGAAUAUGCUUAAAUUUAGGUAUUUCCCUUCUCCAGCUGGCCAUAUAAAAAAUA